rnacentral:rRNA from 1 species
AGAGCGAACGCUGGCGGCAGGCUUAACACAUGCAAGUCGAGCGGGCGUAGCAAUACGUCAGCGGCAGACGGGUGAGUAACGCGUGGGAACAUACCUUUUGGUUCGGAACAACACAGGGAAACUUGUGCUAAUACCGGAUAAGCCCUUACGGGGAAAGAUUUAUCGCCGAAAGAUUGGCCCGCGUCUGAUUAGCUAGUUGGUGAGGUAACGGCUCACCAAGGCGACGAUCAGUAGCUGGUCUGAGAGGAUGAUCAGCCACAUUGGGACUGAGACACGGCCCAAACUCCUACGGGAGGCAGCAGUGGGAAUAUUGGACAAUGGGCGCAAGCCUGAUCCAGCCAUGCCGCGUGAGUGAUGAAGGCCCUAGGGUUGUAAAGCUCUUUGUGCGGGAAGAUAAUGACGGUACCGCAAGAAUAACGCCCCGGCUAACUUCGUGCCAGCAGCCGC